AGCUUUGCGCAGUGGCAGUAUCAUAGCCAAUGAGGUUUAUCCGAGCUGUGAUUAUUGCUAAUUGAAAACAAAAUGGAAGACA
rnacentral:snRNA from 1 species